rnacentral:lncRNA from 10 species
UGGUAUGACCAAAAAUGUCCCCAAACAUUGCCAAAUUUCUCCCAAAGAGAACCACUAAUCUCAUAUACAAAAGCCUAUUCUCAAGCACUUUUGGAAUUAUAACCUUCACACAAUAGUCUUUAGUGCUUAUUUUCUUUCUGGACCAAUAAGGCUGACCAAAUGGAGAGCUUCAGCUUUUCACACAUAAUUUCCUAAAGAUGAAUUUUUUUUGGCCUUACUCUUAGGUAGAGGCAGAUCCUGAUAUACUAUGCUAGCAUACGAAAAUAGGUCUGUACAUUUUUGAGCACCCAAAGUGGUAAGAGACAUUCUUGAAAACAGCUUAAAAAUUUCUGUAGAUACCACCACAAAUAAUCCACACAAUACUUCAACAAGCAUUUAUUAAACGCCUACUAUGUGCUCAGCACUAUACUAGGCACUCGGGGGUGCAGAGAUACAAAUGUAAAAGUUAUUAUUCCUGCCCUCAAGGAGCUUACAAUUUAAUUUUGGAAAUAAAUACAAAUAUGAAACUGUAACACAGAGUGCUAGAAAAUAAUUACAAAGCAACAUAUUAGUAAGUACAUGGACCACAGUACAAACUCAAAAGAUAAGUGCUGAGGCAGCACAGAAUGAGGGAGGUCAUCGCAUGAGGUGAUGUCAAUCAGGGAGAGCUCAGUCAGAAGAUAUAAAGGAAGAAAGGCUUUGAAGGGAGUGAUGAACAUGAGCUGGGACCAAAGAGCAAUCUAAGCAAAAAGAAUAGCAUGAGAAAGGCACAGAGGCAAGAGCUUGUAAGACAUCAGUAGAAGGCUGUAGGAAGUUUGAAUCUGUUGAAUCAAGGUGAAUAUGCUAGAGAGUAAUGAAGGCUGAUGAAUAUUAGGCAUAGAGGUAAUGGAGAAUUUGGAACACCACUGCUCCAUAGGAAUUAUCUACUGGGUGUUACUUAGUGAAAAUGAAAUUUUACAAUAGAGAUAUUGUAAAAAUGGGUGUUUGAGGAGGAUCGUCUUUGAAAAAUUAUCUACUGGGUGUUACUGAAAAUGAAAAUUUUACAAUACGGAUAUUGUAAAAAUGGAGUUUGAGGAGGAGCACCUUAGAAACUUUAUAGUAAGUGCUCAAUAAACGUCGGCUAUUAUUAUUUGGAGACUCAGAACCAAGAGUAAAGUUAACUGCUCUGUUUGGGAAUCAACCACCAUAUUCUAGCACUGCACCUUGCUCCAUGGAGAAAAUCUCUGAAACCUAACAUGCCUCUCCCAGGGCUAUGUUGGAUGGCAUUAGAGUUAUGAAAGAACCACCUUAUCAUGUCAGUUCCUAAAAUGAGAAGCUUAGGAUGGGAGGAGAAAGUACUGAUGAAUAGUUCAUUUCAGAUGAACAUAAAGAUAGAAUCUAUAGGAUAAAGGAGCUUAAUGAAUGCCAUUCACAGUUAAGAGCUCAAAAUGUCAUACAGCCUAGUCAAUAAUAUUCUAUGCUAAGAGUGUGAACUUGAGACAAAGAAUGAUUUCUAGUGAUGUCCUCAAAGAAUCCACAGCCUUUUUCUAUUGUCUUAUACCAUUUGGCUAAUUCUGUAUAUGUGCUGUAUCAGCUUUGAUAAUUCUUUCAAGACACAGUCUUUUCUCACACCCAAUAUAACACUAAUUUUUCUAGUCAUAUUAUUUUCUCCAAAUUUAUGCCACAUGCUUAGUAAUUCUGAGAUUUAAGUAAUCUGGCUACAUAUUACUCUUAAUACUGACACAUAAAGAGACUUUAGCUAGUACAUCUGUAUACAUUUCAAUGUGUUGCUCUGGUCUAUGGCCAUACCACCCUGAAUGCACCCAAUUUUGUUAAUAUGUUGCAUUGCUAAAAGGACUUU